CUCGGCAAUGAAUUGCCGGGCUAUUUUCAGCCGUCCCUUCGGGACA
rnacentral:sRNA from 1 species